AUGCUUGCUUCAGCAGCACAUGUACUAAAACUGAAUACAGAGAAGAUUAGUAUAGCCCAUGUGCAAGGAUUAGACGUAGAAAACUUUAAUACUUCAUU
ensembl:snRNA U6 U6 spliceosomal RNA